GAAAUGUCAACGUAACUUCAAGAACCCAGAACAAGCACUUAGCCCCCCACUGACAACACCUAGCUAACAAAUGUAAAGGGCCUGACUCGUCCCUCUCGGAAGUUCCUGACGAAUGGUCGCCCACUCCAUGGAAGACAUGCAAGUGUUUUACCUGUGAAAACAUUUGGCAUCAGUAACAAGAACCCUCUUCGUCUGGAAGAGACCAGUGAUUUACUCAAGGAACUUCACUAGACUCUGGGACAGGAGGAACACAAGUUUAUAUCCACCAACCCCUUCAGUCCAAUGUACUCCUGGAAAUUACUUGUGUGUGUGUGUGUGUGUGAAGUGGGGGGUGUUUU